GACGAACGCUGGCGGCGUGCUCAACACAUGCAAGUCGAGCGGUAAGGGCCCUUUCGGGGGUACACGAGCGGCGAACGGGUGAGUAACACGUGGGUGACCUGCCCUCAGCUCUGGGAUAAGCCUGGGAAACCGGGUCUAAUACUGGAUAUGACUCCAUGACGCAUGUUGUGGGGUGGAAAGCCUUGUGCGGCUGAGGAUGGGCCCGCGGCCUAUCAGCUUGUUGGUGGGGGNGAU
rnacentral:rRNA from 1 species